CCUGACCUCCCUUCCUGGAGGUGCCGUCUUUGUAAAUAAUAAGAGGUUUUUCUUUAAACAAGCUCAGGAGGUGAGAAGGUUCCUUUCCCUGGGUGACUCGGACCUGAAAAAGGAAGAUACAAACAAGUAACCGUGUCCUAGUUUACAACAAAGUAGUCAGCCUAUAAAUCCUGUGCGGGAAGACGCUACAAUCUCACCAAGGAACAUUCAGCCGCAACACAAAGGGAUCGCAACACAAAGGGAUCGCAGGACGGUUUCUUUACAGGUAUUAGUAACCAUGGAAGGAAAAUAACAUAACCCUCAAUCCUGCUGCUUUAUGACCUCGGAGCUUUCACUUCUCUGGCAGAUUCUAAACAAAAGCCGAGCAGGGAAUCGGUGACAUUCUGUGCAGCUUUGGAUGUGACUGGAGUAAAAGAAUAACAAACUUACUUCAACUUUUCCCGAUCCGUCAUCCACCAUGUUGUGCUGUG